AGCGACGGGAGUGGGGGACCGCUCCUGGGACCCCGCGUUGGGCUUUCGCACGCAGGCGGGGCACGGCGGAACCGCGUUGCUGGAGCUCAUCCUGGACACGCUCCAUCUCCACGGGGCAGAUCACGACCGCCCGCGCUUUGGAGACGGGUCGCGAGAGCUGGUGGCACGUGACCCCGGCACGCGACGUGGAGCAAAGGUCAAAUUUCUCAAACACCUGACAGGUCCCCUUCGCUUCUCGCCCGAGUGCGCACGCUACUUCCAGAGGAUUCUACACGGAUCCCGGGAGUGCGGAGACCCCGCGUGUGAGUGACCCCUCUACAGGGACCCCUCAGGGACCCCACAGCGAUCCCAUGGGGACCCAACACCAAUCUGAUGCACCCAGUCGGGAUUGGCAUGCCCCUGGCAGGGUGGAGUUGAGAGGUGGAGCUGGGAGGGUGGAGCGGGU